AACGCUUCUUUCCUCCCGAGUGCUUGCACUCAAUUGGAAAGAGGAGUGGCGGACGGGUGAGUAACACGUGGGUAACCUACCCAUCAGAGGGGGAUAACACUUGGAAACAGGUGCUAAUACCGCAUAACAGUUUAUGCCGCAUGGCAUAAGAGUGAAAGGCGCUUUCGGGUGUCGCUGAUGGAUGGACCCGCGGUGCAUUAGCUAGUUGGUGAGGUAACGGCUCACCAAGGCCACGAUGCAUAGCCGACCUGAGAGGGUGAUCGGCCACACUGGGACUGAGACACGGCCCAGACUCCUACGGGAGGCAGCAGUAGGGAAUCUUCGGCAAUGGACGAAAGUCUGACCGAGCAACGCCGCGUGAGUGAAGAAGGUUUUCGGAUCGUAAAACUCUGUUGUUAGAGAAGAACAAGGACGUUAGUAACUGAACGUCCCCUGACGGUAUCUAACCAGAAAGCCACGGCUAACUACGUGCCAGCACGCGCGGUAAUAA
rnacentral:rRNA from 1 species